AACGAACGCUGGCGGCAGGCUUAACACAUGCAAGUCGAACGGGUGUAGCAAUACAUCAGUGGCAGACGGGUGAGUAACACGUGGGAACCUUCCUAGGGGUACGGAACAACUCAGGGAAACUUGAGCUAAUACCGUAUACGUCCGUGAGGAGAAAGAUUUAUCGCCCUUAGACGGGCCCGCGUCGGAUUAGCUAGUUGGUGGGGUAACGGCCUACCAAGGCGACGAUCCGUAGCUGAUCUUAGAGGAUGAUCAGCCACACGGGGACUGAGACACGGCCCAGACUCCUACGGGAGGCAGCAGUGGGGAAUCUUGGACAAUGGGCGCAAGCUUGAUCCAGCCAUGCCGCGUGAGUGAAGAAGGUCUUCGGAUUGUAAAGCUCUUUUGCCAGGGACGAUAAUGACGGUACCUGGAGAAUAAGCCCCGGCAAACUUCGUGCCAGCAGCCGCCGUAA
rnacentral:rRNA from 1 species